rnacentral:lncRNA from 13 species
CCCGUGGCUCUCCUCUCCUCUCCCCCACCCAACAGGCUGGCCCUCCUCUCCCACCGCUUUGGCCCACCCUCCUCUCCUGUCCCCUCUCCCUUUUUUGCCCUACCCUUCUAGUCCUUCUCUGCUCACUACCCGGGCUCUACCACUUCCUCCCUAAUCCUCAACCCCCUCCCCUUCCCCCACCCCUAACCCUUCCUCUCCGUGCUCCCCCUCUGCUUCACACUGCCACCCUGACUGCUCCACCUCGAAGCCCCUCCGCCUCCUCUUUCCCCUUGGCCUCCCCGUCUGUUGCCCCUUCCUGUUGUCCCCUCUCCUUAUGACACCUGGCCUGCCCUGGGGUGGGGUGGGGGCUCCCUCUACCCCAGCGACCCUGCUGCCCCUGCCGUCUUCUCGACCUCUCCCUGUCCCCCUCACCCCCACUGCCUCCACUCCCCUCCCAGGCCCCUCCAGCGCUCCCUCCAGGUUCAGCCUCUGUCCCUCUCUCUGCUUCUUGAGAAACUCUGGGCUCCCCCGGCUUCCCCUUUCACUGGCCCUAUCUGCAGUCGCCGGCCUGCAUCACAUGGCGCAGUUGGGUGUUUAGGAGAAGUGAAAGCCUGGGUCACAGAGCUCCUGCCCGGUCAGCUUUCUAAAAACCUCCCUCCUCCUCUACCUCUGCCUGUUACUCCAAACCCCCUCUGCCGGCCUCCCUAGAGCCAGGAGGAAUUUUUUCUUUCAGUUUCACUUCUCGCCAGGAUCCCGCUGUCCCUUCAUCCUCUAUCAAUCAAACUCCAAGGCGCCAUGGGUAAAAAGAAGUGGAAAGGCUGCCUGCAUCAUUUGGACGCGCUCAGCCACUUCACAGAUGCAGAGACGGAGACCCAGUGCGGAGUCUUAUUCUGUUGCCCAGUGCAGUGGCACAAUCUCGGCUCACUGCAACCUCCACCUCCCGGGUUCAAGGGAUUCUCCUGCCUCAACCUCCCAAAUAGCUGGGACUACAGAGAGCUCCUUUGGCUAGAAGAGGGAAACUUCACACCUGGUUCACAAAUGCGGCAGCACAAGAGGCUGUUACUAACCAGAAAUGGACAGAAGCUGCACUAUGGCCUCACUCAGAGCUUUAACUUUUGUCCAUCUUCGUAAGACUGAAGUUCUUGGUCAACUGGAUCAACAGAUAAUUCUCCGCUGGCUGUGAUCUCUUUGGAUUUUUGUUGUGUUAUCUUUAUAUAUUAAUAUAUACAGGGUCUCACUCUGUCACUCAGGCUGCACAAUCUUGACUCACUGCAGCCUCGACCUCCUGGGUUCAAGCGAUCCUCCCACCUCAGCCUCCCAAGCAGCUGAGACCACAGGUGUGCACCACCACGCCUGGCUAAUUUUUGCACCUUUUGUAGAGAUAGGGUUUCACCAUGUUGCCCAGGUUUGUCAUUUUUGACCUCGGAUAAUUUUCUUCAUUUCUUGCCACCUCAGGUACACAUUUAAAAAGACAGUUUACAAUAUUUUGUUGGUGUUUUGUAUUAGGAGAGUUUUUCAUCAUAUGCUGUCUUCCAUAUUGUCAGAAAUGUAGUCUAGCCAUCCUUCCUGGCCCAUUUCAAACGGGUUUCUCUUAGGACCAGGAGACUUCACAUGAUGUGUGUCCUACCCUGGCCUGUGGCUUAGUCACUUGUGUAUGUGAAAUCCAUGCUCCUUGAGGGCAGGAAUAUGGUUUCCUCUUUUUCCCUUCCACAGAGUCCAGUCCAGAGUUCCACACACCAAGUCUCUGUAAAUGAAUGAAAUUGCAUAUGGGAGCUUGAGGCACCCAUGCAAACCUGUGCUGCCAGCGACUUCCACCAGAGGGCAGCGGCAGCAGAUGCCAGCGCUGGGGCAGGACUGGGCGGGGUCUCAAUCUGAUGGGCGGGGGGUGGGGGGGGGUUGGCUGGCUCCCUGUGGCUCCAAUACCUGCCGAAUCAAAUGCCUACACCCACCUUUAAGACCAAGCCCAAUGGAGGAAGACUCCUCCCUAUUCCACAUGUGGG